rnacentral:rRNA from 1 species
UACGUAGGGUGCGAGCGUUAAUCGGAAUUACUGGGCGUAAAGUGUGCGCAGGUGGCCGCGCAAGUCGAGUGUGAAAUCCCCGAGCUUAACUUGGGAAUUGCGCUCGAAACUACGUGGCUCGAGUGUGGCAGAGGAAGGUGGAAUUCCACGUGUAGCGGUGAAAUGCGUAGAGAUCCGGAGGAACACCAGUGGCGAAGGCGACACGCUGGGCCAUACCUGACGCUAAAGCGCGACAGCAUGGGGAGCAAACGGG